UUUAUGGAGAGUUUGAUCCUGGCUCAGGAUGAACGCUGGCGGCGUGCCUAAUACAUGCAAGUCGAGCGAACGGACGAGAAGCUUGCUUCUCUGAUGUUAGCGGCGGACGGGUGAGUAACACGUGGAUAACCUACCUAUAAGACUGGGAUAACUUCGGGAAACCGGAGCUAAUACCGGAUAAUAUUUUGAACCGCAUGGUUCAAAAGUGAAAGACGGUCUUGCUGUCACUUAUAGAUGGAUCCGCGCUGCAUUAGCUAGUUGGUAAGGUAACGGCUUACCAAGGCAACGAUGCAUAGCCGACCUGAGAGGGUGAUCGGCCACACUGGAACUGAGACACGGUCCAGACUCCUACGGGAGGCAGCAGUAGGGAAUCUUCCGCAAUGGGCGAAAGCCUGACGGAGCAACGCCGCGUGAGUGAUGAAGGUCUUCGGAUCGUAAAACUCUGUUAUUAGGGAAGAACAUAUGUGUAAGUAACUGUGCACAUCUUGACGGUACCUAAUCAGAAAGCCACGGCUAACUACGUGCCAGCAGCCGCGGUAAUACGUAGGUGGCAAGCGUUAUCCGGAAUUAUUGGGCGUAAAGCGCGCGUAGGCGGUUUUUUAAGUCUGAUGUGAAAGCCCACGGCUCAACCGUGGAGGGUCAUUGGAAACUGGAAAACUUGAGUGCAGAAGAGGAAAGUGGAAUUCCAUGUGUAGCGGUGAAAUGCGCAGAGAUAUGGAGGAACACCAGUGGCGAAGGCGACUUUCUGGUCUGUAACUGACGCUGAUGUGCGAAAGCGUGGGGAUCAAACAGGAUUAGAUACCCUGGUAGUCCACGCCGUAAACGAUGAGUGCUAAGUGUUAGGGGGUUUCCGCCCCUUAGUGCUGCAGCUAACGCAUUAAGCACUCCGCCUGGGGAGUACGACCGCAAGGUUGAAACUCAAAGGAAUUGACGGGGACCCGCACAAGCGGUGGAGCAUGUGGUUUAAUUCGAAGCAACGCGAAGAACCUUACCAAAUCUUGACAUCCUUUGACAACUCUAGAGAUAGAGCCUUCCCCUUCGGGGGACAAAGUGACAGGUGGUGCAUGGUUGUCGUCAGCUCGUGUCGUGAGAUGUU
rnacentral:rRNA from 1 species